rnacentral:rRNA from 1 species
CAGCAGCCGCGGGAAAACGUAGGGCGCAAGCGUUAUCCGGAAUUAUUGGGCGUAAAGAGCUCGUAGGCGGUUUGUCGCGUCUGCCGUGAAAGUCCGGGGCUCAACCCCGGAUCUGCGGUGGGUACGGGCAGACUAGAGUGAUGUAGGGGAGACUGGAAUUCCUGGUGUAGCGGUGAAAUGCGCAGAUAUCAGGAGGAACACCGAUGGCGAAGGCAGGUCUCUGGGCAUUAACUGACGCUGAGGAGCGAAAGCAUGGGGAGCGAACAGGAUUAGAUACCCCAGUAGUCCCUGUCUCUUAUAC